rnacentral:rRNA from 1 species
GACGAACGCUGGCGGCGUGCUUAACACAUGCAAGUAGGACGCAGUUGCGAAUGGGUGAGUAACGCGUAGGUAACUACCUAUUAGAGGGGGAUAACUAUUGGACACGAUAGCUAAUACCGCAUACUAGUUGAUGGACCUUCGUUGUAUUAAGUAGAAGGUAGGGUAAUGGCCUACCUAGGCAACGAUACAUAGCCGCGCGGGUGGGAUGGUCGGCCACCCUGGGCCUGGGAAACGGCCCAGACGCCUUCGGGAGGCAGCCGUAGGGAAUCUUCGGCAAUGGGGGGAACCCUGACCGAGCAACGCCGCGGGAGUGAAGAAGGUUGUCGGAUCGUAAAGCUCUGUUGUUAAGGAAGCGGUACUUAACCAGAAAGGGACGGCUAACUACGUGCCAGCAGCCGCGGUAAUUC